ensembl:ribozyme RNase_MRP RNase MRP
GAGAAAAGCCAAGGACCAUAUUUUCUGUGUUAUAUUUUCAGCAUCUUAGUCAUGCUAUAUCACCCUUCUACACAAGGAGAAAGUCCCCGGAAAACCCAACUGUACAAAGAUUAAAUUAGGGCAGUUGGUUGAUGUUAAAUUAUAUAUAUACAAUACAUAUAUAUUCUUCAUAAUUCAAAGUAAUAUGGUCGCCCUAUAUUUAUAGGGUAACUCAAUGGGGCUUACUCUGGCUUUUGU